rnacentral:rRNA from 1 species
AGGGAAUCUUCCACAAUGGACGCAAGUCUGAUGGAGCAACGCCGCGUGAGUGAAGAAGGUUUUCGGACCGUAAAGCUCUGUUGUUGGUGAAGAAGGAUAGAGGUAGUAACUGGCCUUUAUUUGACGGUAAUCAACCAGAAAGUCACGGCUAACUACGUGCCAGCAGCCGCGGUAAUACGUAGGUGGCAAGCGUUGUCCGGAUUUAUUGGGCGUAAAGCGAGCGCAGGCGGAAGAAUAAGUCUGAUGUGAAAGCCCUCGGCUUAACCGAGGAAUUGCAUCGGAAACUGUUUUCUUGAGUGCAGAAGAGGAGAGUAGAACUCCAUGUGUAGCGGUGGAAUGCGUAGAUAUAUGGAAGAAUACCAGUGGCGAAGGCGGCUCUCUGGUCUGCAACUGACGCUGAGGCUCGAAAGCAUGGGUAGCGAACAGGAUUAGAUACCCUGGUAGUCCAUGCCGUAAACGAUGAGUGCUAAGUGUUGGGAGGCUUCCGCCUCUCAGUGCUGCAGCUAACGCAUUAAGCACUCCGCCUGGGGGAGUACAACCGCAAGGUUGAAAC